AUGAACGCUGGCGGCGUGCCUAAUACAUGCAAGUCGAACGAGUUCUCCCUAAAUCUUUUGAUGCUUGCAUUAAAAGAUUUAGGAUUCGGAACGAGUGGCGAACUGGUGAGUAACACGUGGGUAACCUGCCCUGAAGUGGGGGAUAACAUUUGGAAACAAAUGCUAAUACCGCAUAAUUAGUUGAAACCACAUGGUUUCAACUUGAAAGAUGGCUCUGCUAUCACUUUAGGAUGGACCCGCGGCGUAUUAGCUAGUUGGUGAGGUAAUGGCUCACCAAGGCGAUGAUACGUAGCCGAACUGAGAGGUUGAUCGGCCACAUUGGGACUGAGACACGGCCCAAACUCCUACGGAGCAGCAGUAGGAAUCUU
rnacentral:rRNA from 1 species